rnacentral:rRNA from 1 species
AAUCUGCCCACUGAUUUAUUAAAGGGCUGCAGUAUAUUAACUGUACAAAGGUAGCAUAAUCAUUAGUUUUUUAAUUGAAAACUUGUAUGAAAGAUUUGGUGAAAUAUUAACUGUCUCUUAAUUAUUAAUAAAACUUUAUUUUUUAGUUAAAAAGCUAAAAUAAAUUUAAAAGACGAGAAGACCCUAUAGAGUUUUAUAUUUGAAUUUUAUUUUAAAUAUAUAUAUAAAUUAAUAUUAAUAAAAUUAAAUAUUAUAUUGGGGUGAUAGAAAAAUUUAAUUAACUUUUUUUAAAUAAUAAACAUAAAUAAGUGAAUAAAUGAUCCAUUUAUAAUGAUUACAAGAAAAAAUUACCUUAGGGAUAACAGCGUAAUAUUUUUUUUUAGUACAUAUAAAAAAAAAAGAUUGCGACCUCGAUGUUGGAUUAAGAUAAAAUUUAAAUGCAAAAGUUUAAAAUUU